GGCGUCGUGGCCGAGUGGUUAAGGCGACAGACUACAAUUCUGUUGGGCUCUGCCCGCACAGAUUCGAAUCCUGUCGGCGACG
rnacentral:tRNA from 1 species